rnacentral:rRNA from 1 species
CAUGCCAUCAGAUGUGCCCAGAUGGGAUUAGCUAGUAGGUGGGGUAACGGCUCACCUAGGCGACGAUCCCUAGCUGGUCUGAGAGGAUGACCAGCCACACUGGAACUGAGACACGGUCCAGACUCCUACGGGAGGCAGCAGUGGGGAAUAUUGCACAAUGGGCGCAAGCCUGAUGCAGCCAUGCCGCGUGUGUGAAGAAGGCCUUCGGGUUGUAAAGCA